rnacentral:rRNA from 1 species
CCUACGGGCUGCAGCAGUGGGGAAUAUUGCACAAUGGGGGAAACCCUGAUGCAGCGACGCCGCGUGAGUGAAGAAGUAUUUCGGUACGUAAAGCUCUAUCAGCAGGGAAGAAAAUGACGGUACCUGACUAAGAAGCCCCGGCUAACUCCGUGCCAGCAGGCGCGGUAAUACGUAGGGGGCAAGCGUUAGCCGGAUUUACUGGGGGUAAAGGGAGCGUAGACGGCAGCGCAAGUCUGGAGUGAAAUCCCAUGGCUUCACCCUGGAACUGCUUUGGAAACUGUGCAGCUAGAGUGCAGGAGAGGUUAGCGGAAUUCCUAGUGUAGCGGUGAAAUGCGUAGAUAUUAGGAGGAACACCAGUGGCGACGGCGGCUUACUGGACUGUAACUGACGUUGAGGCUCGAAAGCGUGGGGAGCAAACAGGAUUAGAUACCCCUGUAGUC